GGGGAUUUAGCUCAGCGGCAUAAGCGCCUGCCUUGCAAACAGGCAGUCGUGAGUUCAAUCCCCG
rfam:Cavia porcellus supercont2_6 genomic scaffold, whole genome shotgun sequence.